CUAAUUGCAAUGCCCUUGCCUCACCCUCGCACUCCAAGCAUGUAGAACACGAAAAAAAAAAAAGCCCCUAGCUAGAGCCAGUGUUUGGUUUGUCCUUUCCUGGCCACUGUAGAAACAUGGCGGUCUACCAUAGCAGAGGACCCGCUCCCUCUGCAGAUAAAAACAGCUCAUUCUGAAGUAACUGAAACAUGAUUCUUAUUUUCAGGGGAAUAUACACUAAUGAAAAUAUACCUAUGAAUAUUAUAUUCUGUUUCUGCAUACAGAUCCUACAUGUUCCACACUGGAGCAUUAAAACUCAAUGAUAUGUCUACAUGGUGUUCACAACUUGUUACCACUGCACCCAAGUGGCCAAAAAAUCAGUUAUUGCACUUUUAAGCAAGUAUAGUUUACUUUACUGGGAUCAUGCAUGUUUCUGGUGAAAACAUUACACACUUUAAAUACUGCUUGUUUGGCAUCUAAAUAAUAACUAUGAGCAAAAAUGUUGGAUUCUAAAAGGACUCUACUGAUAGGAGAGUCAAUGAUAGUAUAUGUAGGGUUAAAAUGCAAAAAUAAGUAUAUAAAAAUAAAGACAGAACGCAGGCCAUCAAAUGCUACACAUGCAUGAAUAAUGAUACUUAAACUAGAUGCCAUGGAGAUGAGGCGGAAACAGUUGCAAAUAGUUUGAUAUAAGGGGGGGUGGUCUGAAUCUCGCUGUCCUUUAUUGGCGUGGAGAAAAAAAACAGACAGACGCACUUUGGAGUUCACUGCUGGGACGUGUAGCAGUCCUUUCAUCCACAGUGCAGGCUGUGUGGCUCGCUGCUCCGCCCGACAUCCUCUCUCCUCUGCACUACUGUCCUGUCUCCUCUCCUGAACAGGUCAAAGGCGUGUUUGUUGGGCGUCUGUCCCCGCAGCCUGGCUGUGUUGAUUUUGUCUCCCCUGGCACUGUCAGUCAUCUGGCCCAGUGACCUGCUCCUUUCCCCCCAGUUAUCCAGACAAUAGUCCCAGCCCCGGCCCAUCUCUCAGCACGGCUCCUCAAGACAUCAUAUUUCCAAGACAUCUCAUAUCCUUUUGCGCAGUGUAAAAUAGCUCCUGACAUCUGUGAUUAUUCUAAACCUUUAAACUGUCUUUUCCUUUUACACUUACUGUUGUUGUGAUAGAUUAGGGUUUAUCUUCACGGCCACAUUGCACCUCCUUUUUCUUUUGUGCCGGAUUGUUUAUGCUUGUGUCUGUCCAGAAAAAGCCUCUCCUAGCAGGAAUUCAUCAGUGCGCUUUGUCCUAAUAUCGGGGGCAGCGUAAAAACAGGCAGCAAGGUCUAAUGGAUUAAGACCGCGGCCAUCCUUCAACCCCACCACUGAUUGUGCAUUGUGAUUUCAUUACCCACAGGAAUGUUCUUACACUUAUGUCUCAGAGCAAAAUUGUGUUAAACUGAAAUAGCCAUUUCCUCUAAAUAGAAAACAUGUCCUGAAGAUACGAGGGUAUUAUUGUGUAUCUACUGUGCUGACAGACCGUUAUCAACAAAUAUAGAUCGUUACCUGGGUAACAACAAUAACUGAACCUGGGUUGUAGCAAUUUGUGACUGAAUUUAAGCCCAAAGUGAAUGAGCACCCAAAAUGGAAAAGUCAUAACAUUUCUCAUAGAAAUGCUCUUGCUGGAGUCCACCUGUGUGGCUAUGAUUGGAUUAGAUUGGGGCUUCCUGUCA
rnacentral:lncRNA from 15 species